AGCAGCCGCGGUAAUUCCAGCUCCAAUAGCGUAUAUUAAAGUUGUUGCAGUUAAAAAGCUCGUAGUUGAACUUCGGGGUUUACCCAUUGGUCAGGCUUAAUUGUCUGNACUGGUGAGAUGAAUCUCUACCUUCUGAGGAACUUUCAUGCCAUUUAUUUGGUGUGAUGGAAAUCAGGACUGUUACUUUGAAAAAUUAGAGUGUUUAAAGCAGGCUAACGUCUGAAUACAUUAGCAUGGAAUAAUGAAAUAGGACGGACUGAUUCUAUUUCGUUGGUUUCUAGGAUCACCGUAAUGAUUAAUAGGGAUAGUUGGGGGCAUUAGUAUUCAAUUGUCAGAGGUGAAAUUCUUGGAUUUAUUGAAGACUAACUACUGCGAAAGCAUUUGCCAAGGAUGUUUUCAUUAAUCAAGAACGAAAGUUAGGGGAUCGAAGACGAUCAGAUACCGUCGUAGUCUUAACCAUAAACUAUGCCGACUAGGGAUCGGACGAAGUUAAUUUUAUAAUGACGCGUUCGGCACCUUA
rnacentral:misc_RNA from 1 species